UGCAUUUCCUGAUUGGACACACAGCAGUCUGACGACCGGGCUCCGGCAGCACGCCACUGUGACUCUCACUGUCAAGUCUCAUGCCUGCAAAUUCUCUGACAUAUCCCCAGAAGGUGGGCUGUAGACCAGAGACUUUAAUGUUCUUUUAACAUAAAACAUUUAGAGGAUGGAUGUACAGCAACAGGCCCUUGCCUGGAAGAGGCCGGCACAGCAUCCUUGUUUAAUGCAGGCAGCAGCAGGCACACAGGCUGCUCCAUGGAGCUGAACACCUUUCUGCCCUGCCAGCUCCUGUGGGACCACCCCGAUGGCUGGACAGAGCUCACCCUCCAAUCUGUUCGGUCUUUGGCUUCCCAAAAAGGCCUGCCAGCAAGAUGGCCAAUUGGUACGAGUUGUGGUGUGGGAUCCAUGGCAUGGCUGCCGCUGGAGGGAUUCACAGGAGGAAUCAGAUGCUCCGUAGACAGUAUGCUCACCAGAUACUGUAGCCGCAGUGUAAGAAUAACUGUGCUCCUAACAUCCAGGCUGGCCUGCUGGGCAUCCUAUCUCUUUCAUUUAGUCUCAUUUCAUAUUCAUUUUUCGCAAGCAAUGACCCAGACUGCAAGACCCACAUGUGCGGGGAGAUGAGCCCUGCCCUGCAGAAGUCGGUGCCUCAGUACAGCCUCCCACCAGCCAACAGUGCGCGAACAUCAGCCCCCAGCAGCCGCUCCCUGUGCCACAUCGAGCACCCCAGAGCAAGCAUUGCCAAAGCAGCACAGGGAGCUUUUGGGACGCCACUUGGAGGAGGCAUCCUCUACUGCAGAAGAAUAACAGGACCACCACACAACCCUUGUUUUCUGGAACAGCCAAGGACACCAGUUGUUUUCUGUGGACACAGUCUGCGUGACAAACUAUUCCUUUGCAGCUCUGCCCAGGAGCAGCAAGAGCAGGGCUGCUCCAGGGCAAGGGCCGAGUGAGGAGCUGAGUGUGACCCCUCUGCCCUCUCUGAUGCAUCCCACAACACCCAAACAUAUUGGGCAGAGCUCGCUGCAGGUCACAGGGUCCAUCCACAGUCCUGGGUACUGCAAAGAGACCAGGUCCAGAGCCUGAUAUUUAAAGUGAGGUCAGUAACUUUUGUCUCUCUCUUGAAAUGCUGUAAACUUAAUUAAUGUUUUCUUAAUGCUUUGUAAAAAAGCUCUUAGGUGAAAGACUCUGAGCCAGCACAAGAUAAUGACAUUCCCAAAGAGAGAGCUUAAAGGUUAGCUGAACUCAUUCUUCUAAGAGGUUGGAUAUCCCUUUGCAACUUUUCCAAAUUAGUUAGCUAAUUUUUCCUUGCAUCAAAACAAUAUAACGUCAGAGGGAUGGCUUUUUUUUUUUUUUUGCUGUUAUAGACUAGCCAAGGUCACAUUCCACUGCAAAGUGAUUGUCUUUCAAUGCAUACCAAUUCUUGGGAUAAAUAAAUAAUGAGUUAAUGUUUACA
rnacentral:lncRNA from 1 species